UUUAAUUCGAAGCAACGCGCAGAACCUUACCAGCCUUUGACAUGGCGGGACGGCACCGAGAGUUUGGUGUCUUCACUUCGGUGACCCGCGCACAGGUGCUGCAUGGCUGUCGUCAGCUCGUGUCGUGAGAUGUUGGGUUAAGUCCCGCAACGAGCGCAACCCACGUCCUCAGUUGCCAUCAUUAGGUUGGGCACUCUGGGGAGACUGCCGGUGAUAAGCCGCGAGGAAGGUGUGGAUGACGUCAAGUCCUCGUGGCCCUUACGGGCUGGGCUACACGCGUGCUACAAUGGCGGUGACAGAGGGACGCGAGCCCGCGAGGGUCAGCCAAUCUCGAAAAGCCGUCUCAGUUCGGAUCGCACUCUGCAACUCGGGUGCGUGAAGUUGGAAUCGCUAGUAAUCGUGGAUCAGCACGCCA
rnacentral:rRNA from 1 species